GGCUCAGGAUGAACGCUAGCUACAGGCUUAACACAUGCAAGUCGAGGGGCAGCACAGUGUAGCAAUACAUGGGUGGCGACCGGCGCACGGGUGCGUAACGCGUAUCCAACCUGCCCUUCAUAUUGGGAUAGCCUUCCGAAAGGAAGAUUAAUACCGAAUAACAUAGAGUGGUUGCCUGAUUUCUCUAUGAAAGCUCCGGCGAUGAAGGAUGGGGAUGCGUUCCAUUAGGUAGUAGGCGGGGUAACGGCCCACCUAGCCGACGAUGGAUAGGGGUUCUGAGAGGAAGGUCCCCCACACUGGAACUGAGACACGGUCCAGACUCCUACGGGAGGCAGCAGUGAGGAAUAUUGGUCAAUGGGCGCAAGCCUGAACCAGCCAAGUAGCGUGAAGGAAGACUGCCCUAUGGGUUGUAAACUUCUUUUGUUUGGGAAUAAAAGACGCUACGUGUAGCGUUCUGCAUGUACCUUACGAAUAAGCAUCGGCUAAUUCCGUG
rnacentral:rRNA from 1 species